rnacentral:rRNA from 1 species
UACGGAGGGUGCAAGCGUUAUCCGGAUUUACUGGGUUUAAAGGGUGCGCAGGCGGAUAUGUAAGUCAGUGGUGAAAUCUCCGGGCUUAACCCGGAAACUGCCGUUGAUACUAUAUAUCUUGAAUGCUGUGGAGGUAAGCAGAAUAUGUCAUGUAGCGGUGAAAUGCUUAGAGAUGACAUAGAAUACCUAUUGCGAAGGCAGCUCACUACGGGAAUAUUGACGCUGAGGCACGAAAGCGUGGGGAUCAAACAGG